GCGCCCGUAGCUCAACGGAUAGAGCAUCUGAUUACGGAUCAGAAGGUUGGGGGUUCGAAUCCCUCCGGGCGCG
rnacentral:tRNA from 2 species